GCUACGGGAGGCAGCAGUGAGGAAUAUUGGUCAAUGGCCGGAAGGCUGAACCAGCCAAGCCGCGUGAAGGACGAAGGUGCCAAGCAUUGUAAACUUCUUUUGUCAAGGGACAAAAUCAGGCUCGAGAGCCUGACCGAGGGUACUUGAAGAAAAAGCAUCGGCUAACUCCGUGCCAGCAGCCGCGGUAAUACGGAGGAUGCGAGCGUUAUCCGGAUUUAUUGGGGUUAAAGGGUGCGUAGGACGGCUUUUAAGUCAGCUGUGAAAGUCAGCGGCUCAAACGUGGAAUUGCAGGUGAAACUGGAUGCCUUGAGUGCACACAGGGAUGCCGGAAUUCAUGGUGUAGCGGUGAAAUGCUUAGAUAUCAUGAAGAACUCCGAUCGCGAAGGCAAGUGUCCGGGGUGCAACUGACGCUGAGGCUCGAAAGUGCGGGUAUCAAACAGGAUUAGAUACCCCGGUAGUC
rnacentral:rRNA from 1 species